rnacentral:rRNA from 1 species
CGGAGGGUGCAAGCGUUAAUCGGAAUUACUGGGCGUAAAGCGCGCGUAGGCGGCUGAUUAAGUCGGAUGUGAAAGCCCCGGGCUCAACCUGGGAACUGCAUACGAUACUGGUCGGCUAGAGUAUGAGAGAGGGAGGUAGAAUUCCACGUGUAGCGGUGAAAUGCGUAGAUAUGUGGGGAAUACCGGUGGCGAAGGCGGCCUCCUGGCUUAAUACUGACGCUGAGGUGCGAAAGCGUGGGGAGCAAACAGGAUU